AGUGGCGAACGGGUGAGUAACGCGUGAGAAACCUGCCUUUCAGUGGGGGACAACAGUUGGAAACGACUGCUAAUACCGCAUAAUGUCAUUUGGGGGCAUCCCUGAGUGACCAAAGAUUUAUUGCUGAAAGAUGGUCUCGCGUCUGAUUAGCUAGAUGGCGGGGUAACGGCCCACCAUGGCGACGAUCAGUAGCCGGUCUGAGAGGAUGAACGGCCACAUUGGGACUGAGAUACGGCCCAGACUCCUACGGGAGGCAGCAGUGGGGAAUAUUGGGCAAUGGGCGAAAGCCUGACCCAGCAAUGCCGCGUGAAGGAAGAAGGCCUUCGGGUUGUAAACUUCUUUUACCAGGGACGAAUAAAAUGACGGUACCUGGCGAAUAAGCUCCGGCUAACUACGUGCCAGCAGCCGCGGUAAUACGUAGGGAGCAAGCGUUAUCCGGAUUUACUGGGUGUAAAGGGCGCGUAGGCGGGAUGGCAAGUCAGAUGUGAAAUCUCAGGGCUCAACCCUGAAACUGCAUUUGAAACUGUCGUUCUUGAGUACUGGAGAGGUUGACGGAAUUCCUAGUGUAGCGGUGAAAUGCGUAGAUAUUAGGAGGAACACCAGUGGCGAAGGCGGUCAACUGGACAGCAACUGACGCUGAGGCGCGAAAGCGUGGGGAGCAAACAGGAUUAGAUACCCUGGUAGUCCACGCUGUAAACGAUGAAUACUAGGGGUGGAGGACUGACCCUUCCCUGCCGCAGUUAAACAAAAGUAUUCCACCUGGGGGAGUACGGGCCGCAAGAGUUGAAACUCAAGGGAAUUGACGGGGGGCCGCACAAGCAGUGGAUAUAAGUGGUUUAAUUAGAAGCAACGAGAAGAAACCUUACCAAGGUAUGACAUCCCGGUGACCGCUCUAGAGAUAGGGCUUUCCCUUCGGGGACGCCGGUGACAGGUGGUGCAUGGUUGUCGUCAGCUCGUGUCGUGAGAUGUUGGGUUAAGUCCCGCAACGAGCGCAACCCUUAUUGAUAGUUGCUACGCAAGAGCACUCUAUCGAGACUGCCGUUGACAAAACGGAGGAAGGUGGGGACGACGUCAAAUCAUCAUGCCCCUUAUAUCUUGGGCUACACACGUAAUACAAUGGCACUAUAACAAAGGGAAGCAAUACCGCGAGGUGGAGCAAAUCCUGAAAAAGUGUCCCAGUUCGGACUGCAGUCUGCAACUCGACUGCACGAAGUCGGAAUUGCUAGUAAUCGCGGAUCAGCAUGCCGCGGUGAAUACGUUCCCGGGCCUUGUACUCACCGCCCGUCA
rnacentral:rRNA from 1 species